rnacentral:rRNA from 1 species
GACGGAAGGUGCAAGCGUUGCUCGGAAUUAUUGGGCGUAAAGCGCGUGUAGGCGGCUUUGCAAGUCGGGUGUGAAAGCCCUCAGCUUAACUGAGGAAGUGCGCCCGAAACUGCUUGGCUUGAGUACCGGAGAGGAUGGCGGAAUUCCCCAAGUAGAGGUGAAAUUCGUAGAUAUGGGGAGGAACACCGGUGGCGAAGGCGGCCAUCUGGACGGAUACUGACGCUGAGACGCGAAAAGCGUGGGUAGCAAACAGG